CCUACGGGUGGCUGCAGUGGGGAAUAUUGGACAAUGGGCGAAAGCCUGAUCCAGCCAUGCCGCGUGUGUGAAGAAGGCCUUCGGGUUGUAAAGCACUUUCAGUGGGGAAGAAAGCCUUGGGGCUAAUACCCUCGAGGAAGGACAUCACCCACAGAAGAAGCACCGGCUAACUCCGUGCCAGCAGCCGCGGUAAUACGGAGGGUGCGAGCGUUAAUCGGAAUUACUGGGCGUAAAGCGCGCGUAGGCGGUCUGAUAAGCCGGUUGUGAAAGCCCCGGGCUCAACCUGGGAACGGCAUCCGGAACUGUCAGGCUAGAGUGCAGGAGAGGAAGGUAGAAUUCCCGGUGUAGCAGUGAAAUGCGUAGAGAUCGGGAGGAAUACCAGUGGCGAAGGCGGCCUUCUGGACUGACACUGACGCUGAGGUGCGAAAGCGUGGGUAGCAAACAGGAUUAGAUACCCCGGUCGUC
rnacentral:rRNA from 1 species